GAUGUAGCUUUAUUACUGGGUUAAUGAUAGCAGCAAUGCCAGGACUGCUGAGGACUCCUGUGUGCCAGGAGGGCGCAGAGCAUUGCCCCUGCCCAUCCUGGUUUAAUCCUCACCUGAAUCCUAGGGGCAGGGACAUUUCUGUCAUGCCGUUCACAGACGAGGAAACGGGCUCAGAGGACACGAAGGGCUUUCUCCAGUCUCAACGCUAAAAUGGCAGGCCUGGGGAUUUGAAGCCUGUCUCUGGGUGAGAUCUGAGCCUUGCCUAUAGCACGAGGAUGGAAGAAAAAGUGGAGCUUUUCUUCCCACUUACUGGAGACGCUUUUGAGGUUGGAUUUUUGCCUUGGAUUUGGCCUUGACCCUCAGUAUGUAAAUCCGCAGAGGAAAGACUGGGCCUUCCUGACACUCCUGCUCUCUCAGGAUUUCCUUCUCAGGAUCGGAGCCCACAGGUCAGACGAGGACUUGAACUCUCAUCUACUGCUCUAGCUGCCAUAUCUUUUCCAACUGUUUCCCUUUCCUUUCGCCUAGUUGGUUAUUUACAGAAAUAACACAGCAUAGGAGAGGCUAAGAAUGAAGGAGAGCGAGCAAAUAAGAAUGAAUGCAAGAGAGAAUGAAAAGGGACAAACGAGAGUGAAGAAGAGACGAUUAAGGGAAGAGAGAGAGGGUGAAAGGAAAAGAAAAAGAGAACAAGAAAGAUCAGGCUGUGAAGUCACCCAGACGUGGUUUGAAUCGUUGCUUUUACUGGCUGUACCAUUUUGAGUAAAGCUCUCUAAUUCAGUUCCGCAUCGUAGAACAAGGGUGGUCCUGUUUAGAGGAUUGUCCUGAGGAUCAAAUAGAAUAUUGUCUAUGCCUUUCCUGCCACCCAAUGAGCGCUUAAUAAACCUCCCUCCUUCCUUCCUCCGCUCUCCUUCCUUCUUUCCUUCCUUCCUGCUUUCCUUCCUUUCUUCCUUCCUUCUUUCCUUCCUUUCUUCCUUCCCUCCUUCCCUUCCCCCUUUCUCCCCGACUCCCCUCAUCAAGGACCACCUAAACCCCUGGCACAAUUCAAGACAUCUCUACAAAUGUUGCCAGUUUAGUCCUUGAAACAACUCAUGAAUUACAUGGCAUUAUAUUCUCAUUUUACGAUGAGGCCUAGAGAGAGACAUUAUAAGCUAGGAUCAUCCAGCAGCUGACUGUCCCACCAGAAUUCCAAUGCAGAUCUGUCUUUCUCCACUCCUAACAAAAGGAAAACUAAGGUGGCCAUCUCAACUGAUGGGCGUUUAGAGUUUUCUUCUUUAGCUGCUCCACCGGAGGGCUGUUGAGAAAAUUACCCAAAUCAUGUUAAUGAGCAGUUGAGUGCCGGAGUUUCUCUGAGGCAAGGCGGUGAACAAAAUCUCUGGUUGGCAACCGUUAGCUGUGAUCAUUAUCUCAGCUGAUACCACCAAGGGGCUCUCGGCUCAAAUAAUUAACUCAACUGCCUCCUCUCAGGGGUGAAGUGGGGCUAAUAAAACUUAACCACCUAGCUUGUGGGAAAAUGAUUCUGUGCUCAGUGAGGAAGUGCUUUCAAGACCAUCUGGCGCCGAGUGGUGGAGUGGUGCUGUCGUAGAAGCUGCGAUGGUGUGUUAAUUCUCUCUCCCUCUUUCUACCCUCGUGAAACUGAGAUCCUUGAGGGUAGGACCUACGUCUGCCUUAUGUAUCCUGAACCUACCCGAGAUGAGAGAGACGGAGGAACGCCACAUCACUCAAGAAAUGAGUUCAGCUGGUCUCCCAGAGCAGAAGUGGAAAAGGCUGUGUGGUGGGGCAGAAGGGACAAGGAUGCAGCCCCUGGAGCUGACCGUGUGCUGCUACAGCCGAGGUCGCGGUUCAUCGCAGCAACAUGUGCCGUCGUUUUGCAGACGAGGAAACAGGACUCAGCCAGCUGAAGAAAUUUGCCUAUUGUCACUCAGGAAUGGUAGAGCCAGAAAUUGGCUUCCAAAUUUCAAGACCCAUGCUGCCCUUUCUACUAGACUGUCUUUAAACCAUCGCUGUGAGUACCUGUAGCCAGGCAGACUUUGGCCCUAGAGUUCUGGGCUGAAUCUGCUAGCUCACCUUCAGGUCAGGACGCCCUCUCUCACAGAGUGUGUCUGCCCAAUGAUGGUGAAUUCUAGAGUCUUCACUGGAGGUGGACAGGAGUGGGCCAGGGAGCUGACAUGGUCUCAUCCAUUUGUCCUUGCUGGAAGGGAGUUGAAGAGCUCCUUUCUUCCCUUUUCCUCCCCGAACCAAAUAAAUAGCACUCUCCCUCCCUCUGAGAAGCGUUCAUAGAUUCCUGUAAGGUAGAGAGGUGAGAGCCACUUAGGGGCAGGCAAUUGCCUUGGGAAGAUUCUGUGUAGCUCGUGUAUUUACAGUCACGCUAUGUGACCACUGGAAUCACUUCUCUGAACCUCAAUUUCCUUAUCUAUAAAACCAGCAGGGGGAGGGGUGGGAUAAUGCCUCCAGGAAAGUAAUAUAGCCAGAGGGCAAGAGCAUGGGCUCUGAAGAUGGAUUACCAGUGUCCAAAUCUUGCUUCUGCUGGCUCUGAGACCUUGGCCAGUUUACUUAACCUCAUUGUGCCUCAGUUUCCUUUAUUGUAAAAGGGGGAUGAAAAUGAUAUUACUUACACACUGGGGCUGCUGUGAGGAUUACAUAAUUAAUACAUAUAA
rnacentral:lncRNA from 1 species